GAUGAACGCUGGCGGCGUGCCUAAUACAUGCAAGUCGAGCGAACGGACGAGAAGCUUGCUUCUCUGAUGUUAGCGGCGGACGGGUGAGUAACACGUGGAUAACCUACCUAUAAGACUGGGAUAACUUCGGGAAACCGGAGCUAAUACCGGAUGAUAUUUUGAACCGCAUGGUUCAAAAGUGAAAGACGGUCUUGCUGUCACUUAUAGAUGGAUCCGCGCUGCAUUAGCUAGUUGGUAAGGUAACGGCUUACCAAGGCAACGAUGCAUAGCCGACCUGAGAGGGUGAUCGGCCACACUGGAUCUGAGACACGGUCCAGACUCCUACGGGAGGCAGCAGUAGGGAAUCUUCGGCAAUGGGCGAAAGCCUGACGGAGCAACGCCGCGUGAGUGAUGAAGGUCUUCGGAUCGUAAAACUCUGUUAUUAGGGAAGAACAUAUGUGUAAGUAACUGUGCACAUCUUGACGGUACCUAAUCAGAAAGCCACGGCUAACUACGUG
rnacentral:rRNA from 1 species